rnacentral:rRNA from 1 species
GCCAAGACGUAAAAUUAACUCACAUACUAAAACGCCAGGGUAUUACGAGCUUAGCUUAAAACCCAAAGGACUUGACGGUACCCCACCUAACUAGAGGAGCCUGUUCUGUAAUCGAUAACCCACGAUACACCCGACCAUUUCUUGCCUUCAGCCUGUAUACCUCCGUCGUAAGCCUACCAUGUGAGCGCACAACAGUAAGCUUAAAGGUUAAACGCCACAACGUCAGGUCAAGGUGCAGCCUAUGAAAUGGAAGCAAUGGGCUACAAUUUCUAAUCUAGAACAAACAAAAUACUAUAUGAAAUAUAGCUACAAAGAAGGAUUUAGUAGUAAAUAGGGAAUAGAGAGCCCUAUUAAACUCAGCCAUGGAGUAUGU